UGGGGCAAAGGUUUUAUAGUCUCCUGUAAACAGGAAGUGUCCUGGUCUGACGUAACUGCAACGUUGUACCCAGAUGGCCUCUUUCUCCAUCUUCAGAGGUACUUGUCUUCCGGCUGGCUCUCUUCCUGCUUUUGCUAUCUUGCUGGCGCAUCUGCUCACGCACGCUGCUGAUGCAAGCGGCCUUGCGCCCUGGGGCUGGGCCUGAGAAGGGAGGAGUUGCUCAACCCCUUAAGCUUUCAGGCCCUGGAGAGAAUCUUACAAUAUCAGAAGUGGGAUUCACAUAGCGCUUCCCGUGACCCUCCAGGAAUAUCAAGUGACCCAGCAAGACCUGACACCUAAUGAAUGUGUGAAUAGAAAACACCUAGAUGCUCAGAAGAAUGGGUAGUGAAAUAUUCGUAUUCAUAUACCAAUCAGAGAGUUUUGGCUGAUCACAGGCUGCCAACUGUUCAAACCACAUUCAAAUAAGGGCUGUGACCGUCUACGACAAGCUGGCAUCUUUCUUUAAAGAGGCACCUCUGGACCUGCAGCACCGGCUCCUCAUGAAGGUGGGCAGCACGCACUCUCUGUUCAGUCAGAACCUGAGGACCCAGCCAUGGAGCGGUCAGCCUUCAUGGAGCAGGAUGCUGGGAGCGGGCUGGUGAUGCGUCUCCAUGAGCGGCCAGCCCUGCUGGUCAGCAGCACAGGGGAGGGUGUGUGAGCUGGAAGAGUGCUGUCUAGAAACAGGCCCCUGACAUUCAAUUCUCUUCUCAUAGAGGACGAAGACUUCUCUAUCCUGCUGGCAGCUUUAGAAUUGCUUCUUUUUUUAAACACAGAGUUUGAACAACUGACUCUUCACGGACGCAACCUUCCUUCUCUUGUCUGUGUGAUAACAGGUACUGCCUGGGACCCUGGGUGUCUGUUUGGCUGGGGGAUGGCAGAGGGGGAGGGGCACGCAGCCUUCACCCUGUGCUUCCCACGAUCUUGUCUCCUUAAUCCUCACUGCAGCUCUCUGCCAUAGGGUCUUAUACUGCUUGACACGUGGGAAACUGAGGCUCAGAGGGUUUCACAGCAGGGCAGGGAGCCCAGAUGUGAAUCUGUAGAUACCAAGCUUUCUACUUUUUCAGUAGUUUCCAAGCAUCUUUUCUGUUGUUGUUAUGUCAUUGGUGUCUUUUUUU
rnacentral:lncRNA from 1 species